UAUAGCCAUUAUAUAGAUUUUCAACAAUGCCAGACUCAGAGUAUAUACAGUCAGGACAAAAAGAAUUUACAAGACUAUCCACAACCCUCUCAUCUUGAUGAAUUGUUAAACCACAGAAACUUAAAGAAGACCUACAGAUAACCUAGGAUGUACAGUAUAAAGAACACCUACAGAAACCUAGGCUGCAUAGUAUAUACCACAAUGUAAAAGGAUCGGCAAGUUGCGUUCAUCUAUUAGGAACCCAAAAAUUGAGCAAUGACCUUAAAGAGUAAGCCAUGUGUACAGUAAGAUAUCCAUCUUUGUAGUUACCAAAGAGUGGGGGUAAGAACCUAGUCUAUCAUUAUACAUGGGGGUAAAGUGACUUCAAAGAAUUGAAAUAAGAGUUUUUACAGAGGAUAUAGGUAUACCGUAUUUUUAAUUUUUUUUGGUCCUGUUUGUAAGUUUGUCAUAAAGAAGUGGGAUGUGGUAUUAAUGUCAAUGGGAUAAAACACACAGAUAAAAAUAAGUUAAAUACCUUUUUAAGUAUGGAUGAAGAAAGACAGACUACCCUAUAACCAAAAGAAAGGACAGACAAAAGUAUGCCAAACAAUACACACACUAAAAAAUGAACAACACCAAUCAAAUCAAAGACCAAGGAUGAACUCAGGUGAUCCAGGAAGUCGGCACCAAAAGAAAGGACAGACAAAAGUAUACCAAACAAUACACAAACUAAAAAAUGUACAACACCAACCCAAUCAAAUACCAAGGAUGAACUCAGUUGAUCUAGGAAGUCGGAACCAAAAGAAAUGACACACAAAAGUAACUAAAAAACGUACAACACCAACCCAAUCAAAGAAUAAGGAUGAACUCAGGUGAUCCAUAAAGUUGGAACCACAAGAAAUGACAAGACAAAAUUUAACAAAACACUAAACUGAUAACUAAAAAUGUACAACACUUACACCCAACCAGAGGCCAGGGAUGAACUUGGGUGACCCAGGACAGAAGUACUACAAGGAUUGUUUUAUUUACUACCAGGACAGGACAGAAGUGGCUUCUUUUUCUUGUACCACUGAAACUUCACAGAAUAAUUGCGUCUAUUUUGAAGUUGUGUACCUGCUUAUAUGGAAUUGUUUGAGGAAUUUCCCCCCAUUUUUCCUUUAAUUCUGAUCUUGAAAACUGUUUUCCGAAAUUUUUAAAUAUGGUACUGAUUUUGUGUAAUCAACUGCUGCAGUUUUCAAUCUCAUUAUUUUUAACUUCACACAAUGAUUGUUCAAAUAUUUUAAAAGUUGUCCACUUUUUUCCCCGACUUGGGAACUAAGUAAUUUUUCUUCAAAGGUAAAAUAAAUAAUUGUUAACCCAUACCUUUUGGAAUUCACAUCGAGUUUGCAAAUUUAUAGAGGCUUUUACAAAUUUUGGCUACUAUGUACAUGAGUUAAGUAAACCUUAAAAUGAGAUAUUAUUGAUUAAAUAUGCUUCAAAUUCAAAAUAUUAUAAAAAUGUAGAUUCAAUGUGUUUGCUAUUUUACUACACUGUACUUUUUUUCCUACAUUUGUAUAAAUAUUACUACACUGUACUUUUUUUCUGACAUUUGUAUAAAUAUUACUACACUGUACUUUUUUUCUUACAUUUGUAUAAAUAUUACUACACUGUACUUUUUU